UAUGUGAUCGUCUCUCGCAUAUCAAUAAGCGGAGGAAAAGAAACUAACAAGGAUUCCCUUAGUAACGGCGAGUGAAGCGGGAAGAGCUCAAAUUUGAAAUCUUCAAGGUUUUACCUUGACGAAUUGUAGUUUAAAGAAGUGUUUUCUGUUGAAGUUUUGGUAAAAGUUCUUUGGAAUAGGACAUCAUAGAGGGUGAGAAUCCCGUAUUUGACCAUUAUUUUCAGCUGUGUGAUACACUUUCAAAGAGUCGGAUUGUUUGGGAAUGCAGUCCAAAAUGGGUGGUAAAUUUCAUCUAAAGCUAAAUAUUGGCGAGAGACCGAUAGCGAACAAGUACCGUGAGGGAAAGAUGAAAAGAACUUUGAAAAGAGAGUUAAACAGUACGUGAAAUUGUCAAAAGGGAAGCGUUUGACACCAGUGUUGUUUUCUCGAAAAUCAAUUAAAAAGAGUUAGAUUUUGUUGUGUAUUGACCUUAACAGCUUGCAUUUCAAUUUUCUUGCUUUUUUUAAUGCACUUUUCGUUUAACAAGUCAACAUCAGUUUCUUUUGUUGUAAAAAGGUCAUUGGAAGGUGGCUUUCUUUUCGGAGAAAGUGUUUAUAGCCUUUGACUCCUGCAAUCGGAGAGACUGAGGUCUGCAGCGUAGAUCCUUCGGGGUUAGAUACAUUUGUGCUAAGUUAUAGCUUUUUAUAGACAACUUGUUGACUAUGAUUAGUCUUGUAGCUUACUCGCUUAUGCUAUUUUACCUACGCUUAGGAUGUUGACGAGACAGUCGAUCUCAUACAUAACUCUGUGCAUAUCAAUAAGCGGAGGAAAAGUACCUACGCUUAGGAUGUUGACACACGCGCGUGCUCGACUCUAUACAUGACUCUGCUGCAUAUCAAUAAGCGGAGGAAAAAGGUACCUACGCUUAGGAUGUUGAAGAUGUAGCACAUCAU
rnacentral:rRNA from 1 species